AUUUACUGACAGUUAUCGUGUAUGGUUGGUGCAAAAGUACAUUCUCCUUUCUGUAAUACAUCAUAUCUGAAAUGCAUUUUAGAGAUUGUGUAGGUUCAAGUGGUAACGAUCAAAAUUGGAACUUUGCAGAAGAAGCAAAACCAAAUCGUGCACCCAGAGCUUAUGCAGAAAUAACAAAUGAAAUUAAGUUUUACGGUCGCCACUAUGAUUUAUUUGAUUUUUAAAGAAAAAAAUAAUAUAACAAAAAUACCACUCUGCAAAGGAAAUUCAAAACGGCAAGUCCAUUAUAAAAGGCAAAAUCAUAAACUGAAACACAUCUAACGAAUGGAUAACAAGUAAUAUUCCUGACUUGGUACAUGCAUUGCCUUACGUUCAAACUGGUGGAAUAAAUCUGUUGAUAUAGCUAGCUAAACAUCUCACUUGUAUGACAGUCGCAUGAUAUUCCAUUAUGUUAACAACGUGUGAGCAAAAAAAAAAAAAAAAGCAAACAGAAGAUAGUUUCUGAUAUGUUCUAUUUAGCAUACCAGCACUGAAUCCCGACGUUGCUGAAUGCGAUUUUCACCAGACUUGUGUUUAUUCCUGGAGAGUGUCACUUGUGGAACAGAAACUUCAUAUCAACAGGGAUACCCGGAUUUGUUUUUUUUCCUCAAUCGAUUUAUGAAUUUCGAUCAGCGGUAUUAUACUGUUGCCUUCUUUAUUCAUAUCACUCAGAUCCCC
rnacentral:lncRNA from 1 species